rnacentral:tRNA from 1 species
GGGGCAGUCGUCUAGCUUGGUCUAGGAUGCCAGCCUGGGGCGCUGGUGGUCACGGGUUCAAAAUGGGCUUAAGCCCAUGAAAAUCCCGUCUGCCCCACCA